rnacentral:rRNA from 1 species
UGCGGAAGGAUCAUUAUCGAAAUUAUAGGCGAGGGUUGUAGCUGGCCUCCCGGGGCAUGUGCACGCCUGAGCCCUUAAUCCCACACACACCUGUGAACCUAUUGUAAGGGCCCGUAAAAAAGGCCUUUACGUCUUUAUCACCUACACGAAAGUCUCAAUAGAAUGUAAAUGUAAUGUCCUCGCCUUAAAAAAGCGUUGAUAAAAAAAAAGUUAUACAACUUUCAACAACGGAUCUCUUGGCUCUCGCAUCGAUGAAGAACGCAGCGAAAUGCGAUAAGUAAUGUGAAUUGCAGAUUUUCAGUGAAUCAUCGAAUCUUUGAACGCACCUUGCGCUCCUUGGUAUUCCGAGGAGCAUGCCUGUUUGAGUGUCAUUAAAUUCUCAAACUCUGAUUGAUUUUGUUUCGGUCAGAGCUUUGGAUUUGGAGCGUGCUGGCGUCAGUCGGCUCCUCUUGAAUGCAUCAGCGGAAUCCCAUUCAUUUCGGACGUCAGUGUGAUAAUCAUGUUGCGCUGUCUCUUGCCGAUCUUGAAAGCCCGCUCA